UUUAACUUAAAAAAAACUGUAAGGUUUUAAGUCACCAAAAAUCUUGAAAAGCUGUUUUUAGGUAGACAUUCCUGAAACAUAAUUAUUUUCAAAGAGUUUAUCCGAAAGCUUUUGAUUUCAUUUUGGACAAUGUUACAUAUAGAUGUAUAAUAUUCAGACAGAGAUCUCAAAUCAGAUAUUUCAAUAGAGAAGUUAUCAGUUUAUAAAUAAUAGUUGGAAUAAACUGAAUUUACUCACUUGGGUUUACAAGGCUUCUCCCCCCACCUUUUUUCCGCUUUUCUUGAAGUUCUACCAAUUAACCUAAAGCUAAAUUCUUAGGAGUGGACUGUGUUUGUAUUAACAUUUCAAGGACAUGAUUUAAGAGUUAACUUCAAGCUUUCUCCUAGGCAUAUUUUUGUUCUCUUUGCAGUCAAAAUUCUGAAAACAGCAUUUCAUCUAGCCAGUGUUCUCUAAGUGUACUUCCCAAUACAAAUGGGCCUCCGCAUCAGAAACACGUCAGAACCAACUGGCAAAACAUCCACAUAGCACUUCGAGCUCAAAAGAGAAGUUGCCAGGCGCACAUUGCUGAACUUACUGGGUCUGGGAGCUCGUCAGCUUGUCCAGAGGUGUCUUCUCAUUCCACCAAGGAAAAGCACAUAUGGGCAGCCAGUGCUGAGCAGAGGAGAAGCAGGAAGGACCCCCGAAACCAAUGCUUUAGGCAGCUGCUAGGAAUAUCCUCCCCAAACCUCUUCCUGGGGCCAGCGAGGCUCCUCACAGCCUUCCUAGCACGUCGUCACGGCAGCAGCACCAAUGGAGAAACCCCCAGGAGCCAGAUAUCGCGAGAGCACAGCCUCACGUUGGCGCCAAAAUCUGUUAGCGAAAGUGAGCCCAGCUGCUUCCCGCUGGAAAGCCAAUAAAGAGACUCUUUUCAGGUUUAACAAAACAACAGGAGGUAGAAGAAAUCAACAGUCAAGGACAAAAAAUGCUGAAGAAAAAAGGCAAAACCACCACAGAUCUUCAAGAAGGGAAAAUGAGUUGCAUGGAAGAUGGGCCCGUUUUGUUGCCAUGUGGCUCCCGGAGAAGAAAGCGAUGGAUUCCCGUCAUUCUGCAGAAAGGGUCCAUCCGUAUUGCUGCAGAUCCACCCACUGCUCUCGCAGCUUCAUCACUCUCCUCGCUGCGGGCUCCACGGUGGCUACAUUCUACCGCACAGUACUCACACUCAUCAGUCAAGGCCUUUCCACCCUCUGCAAGAUUCGGCCUUUGCUGCUUUCAGGUCUCUGUUCAAAUAUCACCUUGUCAGUGAAGCCUUCCCAACUCCUUUACUUAAAACAACACCCUCCCCUACUACUCUGUCACUCUCUGAGCCUCUCAUCCUGAUGUAUUUUUCCCCAGUGCACUUAUACUAACAUACUGUAUAUUUCCUUAUUUAUCCAUGUAUUAUCGCACUUGUCCACUAGAAUGUAAAACUCCAGGAGGGCAAGGAAGUAAUCUACUUGAUUUAAAAUUUUAUCUCCAGGACCUACAACAUUUAAUUUAAG
ensembl:lncRNA